CCUCCGGAAGUGUGGACAUUGUCAGCUCCACUUCUGCGGUCGCGGAUCAACAGUUGAGGAGCUCAGGCCCAGGACAAUGGUGUGCAUUCCUUGUGUCGUCAUUCCAGUUCUGCUCUGGAUCUACAAAAAAUUCCUGGAGCCAUACAUAUACCCUCUGAUUUCCCCCUUUAUUGGUCGUAUAUGGCCUAAAAAAGCUAAACAAGAAACCAAUGAUACAAACAAAGGCAAAGUAGACUGUAAGGGUGCAGACAUAAAUGGAUUACCAAUAAAAGGACCAACAGAGAUCUCUGAUAAAAAGAAAGACUAAAGCAAUUUCCUAAAGGACCACAUCACGUAAAAAAUGGACCUGAUAAUAUGAAGCAUCUUCCUUGUAACUGUCUUUGACCUUUUUAUCUGAGACCAGAAUUCAGGAUAGAAGUCUAGACACUUACCGGAUACUAAUCAGGAAA